UGUGGGAGCGGGCUUGCCCGCGAUGAAAUCGCUGCGGUCUAUCAGCUGCACCGCGGUGAUUCCAUCGCGGGCAAGCCCGCUCCCACA
rnacentral:misc_RNA from 1 species